GACGAACGCUGGCGGCGUGCUUAACACAUGCAAGUCGAACGAUGAACCCGGAGCUUGCUCCGGCGGAUUAGUGGCGAACGGGUGAGUAACACGUGAGUAACCCGCCCUUGACUCUGGGAUAACUGCGGGAAACUGUAGCUAAUACCGGAUACGACCCUCGGCGGCAUCGCCAGGGGGUGGAAAGAAUUUCGGUCAAGGAUGGACUCGCGGCCUAUCAGCUAGUUGGUGAGGUAACGGCUCACCAAGGCGACGACGGGUAGCCGGCCUGAGAGGGUGACCGGCCACACUGGGACUGAGACACGGCCCAGACUCCUACGGGAGGCAGCAGUGGGGAAUAUUGCACAAUGGGCGCAAGCCUGAUGCAGCAACGCCGCGUGAGGGAUGACGGCCUUCGGGUUGUAAACCCCUUUUAGUAGGGAAGAAGCGAAAGUGACGGUACCUGCAGAAAAAGCACCGGCUAACUACGUGCCAGCCGCCGCCGUAA
rnacentral:rRNA from 1 species